rnacentral:snRNA from 1 species
UCCCGCAGAGUUAAUUUCAUCACGAAUUAAUCUUUCGCCUUUUACUAAAGAUUACCGUGGAAUUGACUCAACUGAAUGCGGCUUCAACCAAUUUCUGGAUCCUCCCUUUGGGAGGG